rnacentral:rRNA from 1 species
UACGAAGGGGGCUAGCGUUGCUCGGAAUCACUGGGCGUAAAGGGCGCGUAGGCGGCCAUUCAAGUCAGAGGUGAAAGCCCAAGGCUCAACCUUGGAACUGCCUUUGAUACUGUUUGGCUUGAGACCGGUAGAGGUAAGUGGAACUGCGAGUGUAGAGGUGAAAUUCGUAGAUAUUCGCAAGAACACCGGUGGCGAAGGCGGGUCUCUGGGCCGAUACUGACGCUGAGGAGCGGAAAGCGUGGGGAGCGAACAGG